rnacentral:rRNA from 1 species
GAAUUCGCCCUUAGAGUUUGAUCCUGGCUCAGGACGAACGCUGGCGGCGCGCCUAACACAUGCAAGUCGAACGGGACUAUGCUGGAAGAAGUUUUCGGAUGGAUUUUGGUAUAGUUUAGUGGCGGACGGGUGAGUAACACGUGAGCAACCUGCCUUCGAGAGGGGAAUAACGGCUGGAAACGGUCGCUAAUACCGCAUAAUAUACAGGAGGGACAUCCCUUUUGUAUCAAAGAUUUAUCGCUCGAAGAUGGGCUCGCGUCCGAUUAGGUAGUUGGUGAGGUAACGGCCCACCAAGCCGACGAUCGGUAGCCGGACUGAGAGGUUGAACGGCCACAUUGGGACUGAGACACGGCCCAGACUCCUAUGGGAGGCAGCAGUGGGGGAUAUUGCACAAUGGGGGAAACCCUGAUGCAGCGACGCCGCGUGUGGGAAGACGGUCCUCUGGAUUGUAAACCACUGUCCCCAGGGACGAAGAUGACGGUACCUGGGGAGGAAGCUCCGGCUAACUACGUGCCAGCAGCCGCGGUAAUACGUAGGGAGCAAGCGUUGUCCGGAAUUACUGGGUGUAAAGGGAGCGUAGGCGGGAUGGCAAGUUGGGUGUUAAAUCUACCGGCUCAACUGGUAGUCGCACUCAAAACUGCUAUUCUUGAGUGAAGUAGAGGCAGGCGGAAUUCCUAGUGUAGCGGUGAAAUGCGUAGAUAUUAGGAGGAACACCAGUGGCGAAGGCGGCCUGCUGGGCUUUUACUGACGCUGAGGCUCGAAAGUGUGGGGAGCAAACAGGAUUAGAUACCCUGGUAGUCCACACCGUAAACGAUGAUUACUAGGUGUGGGGGGUCUGACCCCCUCCGUGCCGGAGCAAACGCAAUAAGUAAUCCACCUGGGGAGUACGGCCGCAAGGUUGAAACUCAAAGGAAUUGACGGGGGCCCGCACAAGCAGUGGAGUAUGUGGUUUAAUUCGAAGCAACGCGAAGAACCUUACCAGGUCUUGACAUCGUGUGCAUAGCCUAGAGAUAGGUGAAGUCCUUCGGGACACACAGACAGGUGGUGCAUGGUUGUCGUCAGCUCGUGUCGUGAGAUGUUGGGUUAAGUCCCGCAACGAGCGCAACCCUUGUAUUUAGUUGCUACGCAAGAGCACUCUAGAUAGACUGCCGUUGACAAAACGGAGGAAGGUGGGGAUGACGUCAAAUCAUCAUGCCCCUUACGACCUGGGCCACACACGUACUACAAUGGCGCACAACAGAGGGAAGCAAGACAGCGAUGUGGAGCAAACCCCUAAAAUGCGUCCCAGUUCAGAUUGCAGGCUGCAACCCGCCUGCAUGAAGUCGGAAUUGCUAGUAAUCGCGGAUCAGCAUGCCGCGGU